GAUGAACGCUGGCGGCGUGCCUAACACAUGCAAGUCGAACGGACAGACGAUGAGCUCUUUCCUCUGCCGGUAGCGGCUGGCGGGCGAGUAACACGUAGAUAACCUACCUCUUAGUCUGGGAUAACUUCGUAGGACCACAUCUAAUACUACAUCAUAUAUUGUACCGCAUAGUUCAGUGGUUAUUCGCGCCUUUCCUGUCUCUUUUAGCUGAUUCCGCGUCGCAUUAGCUAGUUGGUAAGGUAACGGCUUACCAAGGCGACGAUGCGUAGCCGACCUGAGAGGGUGAUCCGCCACACUGGAACUGAGACACGGUCCAGACUCCUACGGGAGGCAGCAGUAGGGAAUCUUGCGCAAUGGGCGAAAGCCUGACGGAGCAAUACCGCGUGAGUGAAGAAGGUCUUCGGAUCGUAAAACCCUGUUAUUAGGGAAGAACAACAGUGUAAUUAACUCUGGACGUCUUGACGGUACCUAAACAGAAAGCAACGGCUAACUUCGUG
rnacentral:rRNA from 1 species